CCUCUGGCUUGUCCCUAGUGUCAGGCUUGGGAUUGGAGGGUUUGCACUGUGUUCGGGGACCAGGCAGUAGGCCUUUGAUUCUGUACAAAGAGAGAGUUCAGAUCUUGGUCCUGCUGAGCCAAAGUCAGGGCAGAUUCUUAUGUCAAGUGCAGUAGUGAGAAGAAGGGGGAAAGAGCAGAACAAGGUCGAUCUGUCACUGACCGUGAACCAUCAAUCAAUUUGACUCACUACCUUUGGACCAGCCAACAUGGAAACUUUUUACGGAAGUAUAACCUGAGUACAGAAGAGCUGGAGACAUUUUCAACAACCGAACACAUAGUGUAACUGGCACUUGGAUCAAGAAACAGAAGCUUUCUAAUCACUCAAAAAUCUCUCCAUCUAGUCUCUGGGACAACUGCUCUCCCGACUUCUAACAGAUUCGAUUAUUUUGCCUGUUCUGCAACUUUGUAUCAGGGGAAUCCUUCAGGAUAUCUGCUUUUGCGUCCGGUUUCUUUUGCUCAGCAAAACUUUCGAGGUUCAUCUGUGUUCUGUGCAGCUUCAUUUUGAAUACUGUGUUGUGUUCCAUUGUGUGAAUGUAACCCAAUCUAGGUACUGUUGGUGGACAUUCGGGUUACUUCCAGGUUUUGGUUGUUGUGAAUAGAGCUGCCAUGGACAUUCUUGUUGGUGUCCUUUGGUGGACUCAUCUUUGUUGGGUUUAUACCUGAGGCAUCAUUGCUGGCCACGGAAUUCGUGUGUGCCGAGCUUCUGUUGACACUACCAGUUUCCAAAGCAUUUGUAUACCUGGGGUGGUCAGUCUUUUGAAUUUGAGCUGUUUGGGCACACAGGUAGUAGUAGCUCAUUGUGGUUUUCAUUUGCAUUUCCAGACGAGUGUUCUUUUGAACACCUUUGGUGGCCUCACACCAGCCAUCUCAUUGGGACUUGUUUCUGAGUCCCUGUGUAUCAGUCCUGUCUGGGGACUCCAUGAUAUCAAUGUGCUUGGUGCCUGGUAAAUAAAUGGCUGGUAAAUGAACUCAUGGAAGCAAAAGGGAAAAAACCCCCAAACCCACACACCCCCAUCCAACCGAAACUCUGGUUCUGGUUAACUGAGAGUUCUGUUGAGGUGUGGUUUGGUCGAUUGGAGUUUUUUUGUGAAACCUGUAAAGCAUGGACCAUCGGCCAUAUGGUAUCAACAAUCACUGAGCCCAGCACUUUCUGGUAAAGAAUAAUAAUACUGUGGAUGUAACAGGGACCUUGGAGGAGCCAGCAGGGUGGCCCUGGAAGAAUGCUGGUCUACGGGAUCAGCUACCCCUCAGGCCUCUGUCAUUUUCCUGAAGUCCUACAACCGAGAAGAAGUUAAACAAAGUCCUAGAUCCUGGGCCUCCAAUGCCACUUGCCACAAUGUUUUCCUUUUAUUCUCUGUUGUAUCUGCAACCCAGAGCAUGCACAUGUAAGACUCACACAGAAGACUCAUUCCUAUGCUCCAGGAAUGGCUUAAUUGAGCAUUGCCAUGUGCUGGGCACUGUGCUAAGCUUGGGGAUACAGCAGAAAAUAAGACAGCUCCAAACCCCUGUCUUCAUGCAGUUUACUUGAUUUUGGUGGGGGAUAUGGUUGGUCAGAUGACGAAUGCUAUGGAGAAAAAUAAAGAAGGGGAGGAAGAGGA